rnacentral:lncRNA from 1 species
GCACCAGUUUCCUUUAUUUGCUUUGUUAAUGUAAUCCUUCUGUUGAAAACUGUUUUGUAACUUCCUGGAAAACAAAACAAAACAAAACAACAACACGGAAUUGGCGCAGGAGGGCUCGUUUUAUCCUCCCAAUUUGCCAUGGUUGCUUGUUAUCCGGGCAAUGGAACGGGUUAUGUACGUCAUGUUGAUAAUCCAAAUGGAGAUGGAAGAUGUGUGACAUGUAUAUAUUAUCUUAAUAAAGACUGGGAUGCCAAGUAAGUGGAGGUAUACUUCGAAUUUUUCCAGAAGGCAAAGCCCAGUUUGCUGACAUUGAACCCAAAUUUGAUAGACUGCUGUUUUUCUGGUCUGACCGUCGCAACCCUCAUGAAGUACAACCAGCAUAUGCUACAAGUACGCAAUAACUGUUUGGUAUUUUGAUGCAGAUGAGAGAGCACGAGCUAAAGUAAAAUAUCUAACAGUGAAAAAGGUGUGAGGGUUGAACUCAAUAAACCUUCAGAUUCGGU